rnacentral:rRNA from 1 species
UACGGAGGGUGCAAGCGUUAUCCGGAUUUACUGGGUUUAAAGGGUGCGCAGGCGGAUAUGUAAGUCAGUGGUGAAAUCUCUGGGCUUAACCCGGAAAUUGCCAUUGAUACUAUAUAUCUUGAAUGCUGUGGAGGUAAGCGGAAUAUGUCAUGUAGCGGUGAAAUGCUUAGAUAUGACAUAGAACAACUAUUGCGAAGGCAGCUUACUACGCAGAUAUUGACGCUCAUGCACGAAAGCGUGGGGAUCAAACAGG